rnacentral:sRNA from 1 species
AGAGCGACCGGAUCGAUGUUCCGGGUGACCACGAGGUAGUCGCGGAUCACGAUGGCGUGGCGGCCCUC